AAUAUAUAUAUUGUUGCGAAAUAAAAAAUCAAGUUCUGAGAUACUGUUAGACUUUUUACUUUUAGUUGUUAUUUUAUUGAGCUUGGAUGACACACAAAUUAUGCCUAUUGAUCCAAUAUACUAUCAUGACUUCUCAGAGUUUAACAUUUUCAGUUAAUCAAAAAAUUUUAAGUUCUGUUAAUGUAAAAUACAAUUUGAUGAAGUGUAAACGGCCCACAGUUUCCCUCUCCUUUAUGUGCAAUUCAAGAUGGCUACCCGAUGCGAGGGAGACAAUUUGAAAGUAACGGAGCAAAACUGUUAAUAACCUUUUUAACAAAAGUCGAGAGAACCAGUGUUUAUUUGCAGCGCUGUGAAAGAAACGUUUUUGUGUUCUUUAACUUCUAUUUUACCACCGUGUUUGCUCUGGAAUGACCGCUUCAGGAUGUAACGUUAGAAGCAGUUUGGCGCGUUACUUUUAUGCUAACGUUAACGGACAUUAGCUCCUAAGUAACAUGACGUUGUGACUGAAGCCUUCGCCUGACAUUCGGCAGAGAAUGCACUUUGGCCCGGACUAUAGAGAGUGCUGCUGAAGGGAUUUCAUCAUGUCCAUAAUCACCUGACUUGCGAAAGCAGCUCUUGUAUUGGAUUAAGUAUUGAGUGACACUACAGCUAUCCAAGGUGUUUGCUGAGUUCCAUUGUCAUCAUGACUAAUGUUGAACCUAAAGAGCCAAUUCAAUUGAGCUUGACACCAGAGCUGAUUGUCCUGUGCAGGUGGAGGGCCUCACAGAUGGGCAAGACAGCAGAGGCUCUGCGGAGAUCCUAGGAUUUAUGACCUCCAGGAACAACAUGAUGUACACGUGAGACGCAUUCUGCCCUCCCAGUGGACCUGCAAGAGGAUAACUGAUUUCUUCAAGACCUGCAAUUGCAAAGAUGAACCAGAUAUUGCUGACACGCCUGUGGCUGUCCUCACUGUGGUCACUGACGACGCUCCUGCUGCGGUCCACUUCAACCCUGAGAGCGUUUCUGUUGAGUGAGUGACUAUCCAAAUAAACUAAUUUUCACAUUAACCUUUUUAUCAGAAAAUAAUAAUGUCUUGAUGAUAGCAAACCACUGAAGCUGUACCUAAAAGUACUUGUUGAAAGAAGUUUGAAUGUACUCAUGUACAUAAACGUUUUUUUUCUGUGAAAUAUAGAAAUGGCAGGAGAUGUUACAAGUUUUGAUAAUGAUUGUUCAAUAAAGAAAACUUGACUUGUAAUAA